UUCUUCCUCGUGUUCAAGGGGAACUUCCUGAGCAUCUAUUUCUGCCCGUUGCAUCUUGACUUAUUGCUUGGCACCACCAAGAGGAGUCUGGCUCCAUUCUAUUGAUAUCCUCUCUCCAAAUUCUGAAAUACAUUGAUGAGGUCCCUUCUCAGUCAUCUCUUGUGGCUGAACAGCCCAACUCUCUCAGCUUUUCCUCAUAGGAGGAGAGGUGCUUCAGUCCCUUGAUCAUCUUUGUAGCUGGACCCUUUCCAGGUACUCUAUGCCUCUCUUGUACUGAGGAGCCCAGAACUGGACACAGCAGUCCAGGUGUGUCCUCACCUGAACCUCACCAGGGAUGAGUAGAGGGGCAGGAUCACUUCCUUCUAUCUGCUGGCAAUUCUGUUCUUCCUGCUGAGAGCACUUGCAAAGCUGGGACAUCCUCACCACAGCCCCCCUCGCGGCCUUUCCAGGAUGGGGACAGACCCCAGGAAAGGGAGAAGGCUGUGGGCUCUGCAGCCCCUCUCUGGGGACAGUGCUGGGUGUGGAGCUGCGUGGGCAGGAUCCUGAUGCUCUCAGAUCUUGCAUGCUCAGCGAUGCCACUCACAGCUGUGUUUGCUGCUUCUCCCCAGCCCACGUGAGUGACUGUACUCACUGACUUUAUAAGGUUUUGUGUAGUUUCCUUAGCACAAGUGAGGAUUGUGGCACUUAGUACAAAUAAUAAGUGAUGGGUCCAUGACUCAACUGUUCCCAAAGAGCAUGCCCUAUUGAGAUAAAAGCACAGAAAAUGUACUUGUGUUACAGAUGUGCUGUAGUGCUCUGGUUAAUGUUCUCCAGAAUUAGGUGAAAUAUGUUACCUUUUUGCAGAUGCCUCCAGCAAAGAUGAUUGCAAGUGAUGUACUUGGUAAAAAUGGAGAAAAAAUGUCCCCAUUUCCCAUCCUUCUUAAGCUGUGCUGCCCAUUAGUUAACCUGAGAUACUUAAAAAGCAUGAAUAAAAUUACUCUUUUCAAUUUUUCAUAACACCAUAAAGGCAGAUACAUCACUUAAACCAAGACUGUCUUUCCCAGUUCUUGUCUCUAAAGAUGAGAAGAUUACAAGAGAUGAAACUUCAGGAGAAACUUCCAGUGGGUCUGCUUUGAACUUUCAAGAAUUUGCAUCUGGUGACUCCUGAAAUCAGAGGUUGUGUCUUAGCAGCCCUUACCAUAUCUCCUCCAUACAUUUGUUCAGUUGAUUUGAUGCUCAGAAGUGCCACCUGAACAUGAGGAAGAAUUUUUUUACUAUGGGAGUGACUGAACACUGGAAGAGAUUGUCCAGGGAAGCUGUCGAGUCUCCCUCACUGGAGAUAUUCCAGAACCACUAGGAUACAAUCCUGUGCUAUAUGCUCUGGAAUGGCCCUGCUUAAGCAGGGAAGUUGGACCAGAUGCUCCACUGUGGUCCCUUCCAACAUUAUCCAUGCUGUGAUUUCUGUGAUUUCUCUGAUUUCUGUGACCUAUUGCUUGUAAACUUGUAGCAUCCAUGUCAUCUGGUGGCUGGAAGUUCCACAAUGUCACUGUAUGUAUGAACAGCCACUUUCCUUGCUUUCAACUUGCCAUUUUGUGAUACCAUGUGAUGACCCAGCCCUGCUUAUUUCUUGGGAAAGGACAGUACAUCAAUUUUGCCUUCUCUAUGCCAGUUACUUCUUCAGAGCCUCGAUGAAAUCCCCUUCCAGUCUGUGACUUUCCAUAAUUCUUGACCUCUACUGAGUACAGAGUUGGAGUUUCAGGUAGAUGAUACUUCACCAGCUUUCUAAGAUGUCUUUUCAGAUUAACAACUAAACAAGUGCUCAUCAUUAACUACACAAAUAUGCUGCAACUGGACUGACUUACCUGCUGUGCUAGUUUGGAAAUCUGCUAUUACUGCAUCACAAAGGAAAGAAGAUACCAACAUGAGAGAGCUUUUUAAAGGCAGAAGCAACCUGAAUUUGUUCUUCAUUAUUGAAAAAGCUUCUUUGAUGUGAAAUUUAAUAGAAAAAAAGAGAAUCUAAGUACAAGGGCUUUCAGUUCCGCAUGCUUGAAAUGUGACUCAGAAUCGCCACUCCCAGCCCUGCCCAAUUACACUGCUCUGGGAUGUGCUCAUCAGCCAGAUCUGAUAUAGGACACACAGCAAGAAGACAGAGAGGCACUUCCAAGGGACACUUCUGCUGCAGGACAGUGCUGCUAGAAGGCCUGUUCCUUUCUAUACCUGUGCAGCCUCUUCAUCCUUCUCCUGGCUACCUGCAGUGGUUUGGUUGGAAGUAUAAUCUGUGUAGCAGUAGUAAAGAGCCUCGAGAGACCUGCCCUCAGCAAAUAUGCUGGCUGUGUUAUUCAUUGAGCUGUAGCUUACAUCCCUCUGGUAACACAACUCUGCCAUCAUAAGGCAGCUUAGAGCACUUUGGUAAUACUGUAAUCAUAAAUGUCAGGCGACGUCAAGAGUCUUCAAACAGUUUGGACCACUGGAGUUAGUCAACUCUGAAAAUUUAUUGUACUCUGUUAUUAAAAUUCUACCUAAAACCAUGUUUUCAUAUGAUUCUGUAGAGUCCAUACCAGUGGCUCAUGGGGGAGUUAGGAAACUACUGGCCAAAACACUUCAGCUAACCUAACUAACUUAAGGUACCGUUAAAGAGACUCUAUCUAAGUCUCCUCACCUUUCUGUGUGUGAAUCAGUUUUCCAGUGGUAGAGCACUGAGUGAUAUAUAUUAGAUAUGCAAUGCAAGAGCCAAGUGUUCAUAGUUAUUAUACUCCUGCUGACCUAAAGCAUAAUUUAAAAGGACUGGGAAAUAACCUGAAAACAAGUACAGAGCUAGACCCAUUUUAAAGAGAUUAUCUUAGGUAAUUUUCUUUAUGAAAAGUGACACCAAGCUUGUUUUUCUCACACAUGACUGCAAAGUGUUAUUGGUGAGGAACUGGUAUGCAGAAGUUUCUAAGGUCCCUAAAGCAGAAAGCAUAAGCACAGAGUUUACUGCAAAUCAAGGACAGGAACUCAUACUCACUUAUUACUCUUUUAAUAUUUUUGUUCUCAAAAGCAUACUGAUUUAUAUAUAACCAGGGAUGGUAAUAUGGCUCUUUGUAUAUGAUUUUUGCACUUGGGGGGGGAAGAUAAUAAAGGGAGUGUUUGUGAAAAUGUCUGUUCUGAGCAAAUGCCUGUUAGUUAAGAUAGUAUGUAAACAGCACUGUAAUUAAAGGACUCAAACACUUUUGAAGUUGAUGAGGAAAUGUGUGACAAAUAUCAUCAAGAAUGUGGUUCAAAGGAUACAGUUCAUAUCUAAGACACACAGGGAAAGCCUAAUUCUGAUCCUAUGCUAGUUGAGUACCUGGCUUCAGCUGAAUCAAAGUUACUCUGCUGUCUGAUGUCCACAAUGGGUAACUUUUCUUGCUUUAUCUGGGUUGCUGAGAAAAGAUGGCUCAUGGGAUCAGGGCAAAGAAGGAGCCUGAGACAGGUCAUAAAAAGGGCCAUGAAAGAUGAGAAGGUCAAUAAGAUGACCAAGAAAAAGUUCAAGAGAGAAAAAAACCCAAACUCUGUAGUGCCAUCAGAGCUUUUGCUCAUCUCCUUGAUACCUUCUCCUUUCCUUUUCCCUUUGAGCUUCACAAAAACUGUUCCAGUUUGGCCAGUUAAAUGAUGCUGAAUAUGGUUUAUUGUUGUGUUUGUAAUUAAAUCACACGGAAUUCUUAGGUACACUUAAAGUUUAUUUGUUGGCUGGUUAGGUUUUUAAAAUUUGUAUUCACAAUUAGAGGUGAAAAAAGGAGUGGAAGGUGUAAAUAGUUAUGCAGAAUCGAGGUCUGCAGUUGCUGGAUUUCUGGAUUGUCUGGAAGACUCCUCCAACACAGCUGACUGGGAAGAUUGAGACACAGGGGAACACUUGUGGCAAGACCCCAUGAGCCUCCACUUAUAUUUUCCAUGUAAGGGCAGCAGUGUUUGCACAAGACCUCUGGACUCUUGUAUCAGUGGUCAUUCUGCUAAGGUGCCUUCAUCAGGAUCACAGACUGAUCAGAUGUCUGUACCAGCAGACUGUCCACUGCAAAUUAAACCAUCCCUUUUGUCAAAGUCAGUUCUUCUGUGUGUUUUGAUGAAAACAUUGCUGGAGCCAGUGUAAGCAAGGAUGCAUUGCUGCUGUUUCUGAGGCAAUUAUACUGAGAUUAAAGAAAACAUCACUUUUCAGGGCCCUUUACAACACUAAAGUGAUUAGAACAAAAUUAAACCAGUUGAAUUUUAGUGUGCUGCUAUUGGACAGGUUUUCUCAUUUACCACAGCUGAUAAAAAUCCAGGUCUUUUUCCCUUAAGAAUACAGAUUAUUUGCUUUCUGAGUGUCUAAGAAAUAGUCUAAAGCAUAAUUCACCAAGCCCAAAUCUCCAGAAUGCAAUGAUAGUUCCCCAAGAAUAAAAACACCACCACUGGGUAUACAAAUAUAUUUGUACUUAAUGACUAUGCACUAAGGGAUCUAAAAUAAAAAAAAAGAUAGUAUAAAAAUAAAAGUCUUGAGAGAAAAAAAAACCCAGCAACACUGCUGUUUAUGCAAGAUGAAAUAAGUGUAGUGGCUAGUUUUAACACAGGAUAACUUUAAUGUAUUUGUUAGUGGAUUAGUGAGAACAACUGACUGCAUUAGUGUUUUUAAUGCAAUGUAGAGUAUUGGGAUGAUUUAGCAUUAUGUGUGUUUGAAAGACACGGCCCUGAGGAACCUGUAUCCUUGAAGCUGGACUUGCUCUGAGAGAAGAUAUGAAUCAUGUCAUUUCCACAGGUCCCUUCCAGCCUUAAUGGUUUUAUAAUUCCAAAGCAUUAUUGAAAGUAAGCUACUUUUAUUAAAAUAUUUGCCUUGUUAGUGGCUGACAGCAUGGUGUAAUAAGAGCAAUGGAGGCAUGUUGAGCUAAAAAGUCAUAGACAGUAAAGUAUGAAGCCAUAAACAGCUGCACUUUAUAAAUGUGUGUGUCAAAUUUAUGCAAUGUAGAAAAACAGUUUGAGGACAUAAGAUCCUCAAAUGUAUAUUAUUUGUCUUGCUCCUAUUAAUGCAAAGAUAAACAUGAGCAGUUCUUUUAUUUUGUUUGAAUUUAUUGCUUUAGUACUGCCGUUUUACUGUGCAAGCUUCUAGUAUUUCCUAUCAUAACUUAAACCAUGUUCAAAUGAGCUAUUUGAAAAGUUUAAUUAAUGAUUAAACUAGCUGUUCUUACCUGUAUACAAACAUCCAGAAAAGAGGAGUUUAUCUCUAAGGAUUUAGACUUUUAUUUAUGUUUUUUUCCAGACAACAUGACCAGUAAUUACUGUUAAAUGUGGUUUCUAAAUAGUCUUCAACCAAGACACCAUAAUUAAAGUAAUGUAUUUAGUACAAAAUUUUAACAACAUUUUUCUGUCCCCAUUGAGUCCUGAAAUCCAAGUUAGGCAAAGGCAGAAGUGGCUUACAGGACUGCAGACUUACAGCUAAUGAUGUGUGGUUACUGGCAUGGGGUCAGCCAAGGUCCUUAGUAACCAAAAGUUGUUAGCAUCUGAUUAUAAUUAAUUUCCAACAUCAAAGUCCUCUGCAAGCAGACACGGUCAAAUUGUCAAAUCUCAUAAAUAAAUACAUAUAUAUAUAUAUAAAAACACAUGUAAAUAUAUAUAACAAAAUACUUAUAAAUAAAAUACGUGUUUCAGUAUAUACAUACUAGCACAACUGAAACUAUUUGGUAUAUUAAUUAUUAUUUUCCCACUUUUUACUUCUCAUGAAUAUGGUGCAUCUUUUAGGUUAUAAUUUUAAAGAGAGGAUUCCAAAUCCACUUCUCAGUUGAAAGUAAUAGGAAUCUUGCUUUAGAUAGUUUCAUUUCAAUGAGUUAAACUUCUUUAGUGAAAUAUUUUUCUGUGGUUAAUUAUCAGCUCAUUUUGUUUCUUGCAUUAAUCCCAUAUUCUCCUGUUUCCUUGAUUACAGGCAUCACUACCAGGACAUUUCAUUCUGGAACACGACAGAAACAGCCUCACUCACAAUAAAGCACAGGAGGACUGUAAACAAGGUGGUCUGAUGCCAGCCUAAGAGGGGCACUAGGACAAGCAGAGAUGAGACAGCCGAUUUCAAAACCAGUAUGGAUUUGUGUUUGUUGACUAAAUUGACUGCACAACUGUGACCUCAGAGGGGUCCUCCAGAUCAAGUAUCCAGCGCAGGAACUGUCUGUCAGCAGAGGAGACAUGGCCCAGAAGGACACGCUACCACUGGAGCUUUGUACCCCAGCAAUUCCCAUUUAAUGAAAAUCUUUAGACAUCAGUGUCUGGGAGUAUGAAUCAGCACAGCCUUUGGAUUGCUGAAAUUUGUAAGGCUCAGACUGAUACAUUUUAUCCCACAACACUGUUUAGAAGCAAUAUGUAGUUUUUAACCUAAGGAUCCUUGAAGUAAGAAAGUAAACAAAUUACUAAUAGCAAACAGGAGUUUUGGGAGUGAGUGGGUGCAAAUGGAUGUGAAGCUGAGUGACAAGGAAGAAAACUAAACAAAAAUACAUCAAACUGUAUCUACCAGUUACUUUUGUCUCAGUGGAGUAGGUCUUUGAGGCAGUUUCCCUGAACAGCAAUAAUCUCUCAAUUGGAAAAGGAAAACAAAGGAAAGCUUCACAAGUCAAGGGUAAAAAACAAGCAGGAACAGAUAGGAAAUACGCUUACAUGUUAAUGUAAAAUAUAAGAUUUUUGAUUAAUGUAAGAUUUUUAAUUUUUGGUCAUGCUUUCUACAAAGGUUCCUCAGUAGUCAGACACUCCUCACUUCUACAUGUUAAACUUUCUGCAUUUUGGCAGUAUUUUUCUUAUUAACCAAUGAUAUUUUUAUAGUACACAUGUAUUUAUUUAUAUUUCUUAAGAGCUUGAAGAUUUUCUCUCAUUGUUUGAGAAAUUGGGAUUGCUUUGCACAGGAAAAUACUGUAGAAGAAUAAUACAGUGCAUGGAAAACUAUGAUACAUGCCUGUAUCUUUUCUGUGUCUCUGGCUCCACAGGUAGCAGGGUAGAGUGCUGCUUUUGGCUACAUAAGUAGGAAAGAACUGAUUACGAGGGCCAAAGGAACACAGGACUUGUCCAAUCUUGUACAUCCAAGAAAGUCUGUAAUAGACAUCUGGAAGGCCCCAUAAAAUGUGUUGUCAAUAAAUCUAAGCUUAAAAACAGUUUUUUAACAUCCUCUAACCCAAAAUACCUAAAGAAAAAGACACAACUAUUAAAAAGUAAGGUACAAGAAGAGGUCAAGAGAAAUUGGGCAUUGCAGAGGCCCUUGGUUUCUGCAGUAAUAGAGAAAGUAUAUGACAUACAGUUCUAGCAAGAAGCACUCUAGUCCACUUUCUCUUACUGAGGAGGAAAUAAAUCUUACCACGGUUCUUCCAAAGUGGGUAUGAGAGGCAAAUUCCUCCUGGAUCUCAGCUGGCUAGAUGAGCAUCCAUCUACUAAUUGCAAAUCAGAGUUGUGAAGGAUCUCAAGGGUAAGCAUCCUCUUUCAGACAAUACAGUGGUUUUGUGUAGUUUCUAUCAAAACAGCAAAGUGUUUUAUUUGUCUGUGUAUUCUGCUUUUUAAAGUUCUUUAUCUUGUAUACACCCUCACCUCUCUACGCAGAUACAGGUAUUUUUAAGUGCAUUCUUGUAAUCCAUUAUCAUCUUAAUGCUACAGUCAGGACUCUUUGGCCUUUGUGUUUAGUUUUGUUUGUAGGUAUGAUGUGAAUAAUAUUAAUGGAGAAUGAUUACAGAUGGGAUGCACCAAGUGGGAGUAAGAUUCCAUGUACAAACUCUGCAACAUGAGGUUAUGUUAAUAAAAUGUAUUUCAAAAACUUGAUAUAAUCUAAAUGCUGAUUCCAAAAUUCUUCAUA